UCAUAAUUACAAGUAUUUAACCAAAUAAUGACCAGCUUUCUUUCUUUAAAAGUGACAUUUUUAUCAUCUGUGACCAGCUCAGCACAGCAAAGUCAGAGAACUUUUCUCACUGAGUCUCUGGACUAGUAGGACUUUCCAAGGUUCCGUGGUCUUUUACACCCAGAGAAGAUUUAAAAAUGAAAAAAGAAAAGAAAAGAAAAGAAAAAAACCUCCCAGAGUGAAAGGUAUCCCUCAUAUUUUUCCACUGUGUUUGUUGGCCAGAUCUCCUUAGCAAAGAAAUGGUCUUCCAGUAUUUUGGUUUCAUAUUAUUAUGUUCCAUUUAGUAAACCCAACUUACCAAAAGUAGGCUGGGGCAUCCAGUUUCCAAUGCCCCAGUGCCUGUGACAUGUUCUUGUUUAAUACUAAUUGCUCCCUGUAAAAUCUGGCCUCUUGAAUUUUGCUUUUCCAUGAUCAGCAUUCUUCAUGACUCCUAACCAAAGGCCCCAUCACUCAUGCAUAACUCAGAUAAUUUAUUGCAUUACCUCUGAGGAAUUUAUUUCCAUGGUGUUUCUAGAAAACCCAAUAAACUCCUAAAUAAAACCACAGAGGGAAGGAGGGAAGGAGGGAAGGAG
rnacentral:lncRNA from 1 species